CCAACUGCAGCUGGCGGCGGCGCCAUUUUGAACGUGCGGCUCCCGCGGGCGUGAGUCACCGGAGGUCGUCUCGGUCCUCUCCUCGCUCGCGUGCCCAGCUCUAUGUAGAGUCGUCCACGCCCCGAGAGCGAGGCCCGCCACCGGUAUCUGAGGCGAACGCGUUGAGAUGAUGCUAAGGGGCAACCUGAAGCAAGUGCGCAUUGAGAAAAACCCUGCCCGCCUUCGCGCCCUCGAGUCGGCGGCGGGAGAGACGGAGCUCGCGCCGGCCAUGGCGCUGACGCUGGCCGGGGAGUCGGCGCCGGCCUCCGCCGCGGCCGCCGACGACCACCCCGAGGAGGAGGUGGGCUUCACCAUCGACAUCAAGAGCUUCCUCAAGCCGGGCGAGAAGACGUACACGCAGCGCUGUCGCCUGUUCGUGGGCAACCUGCCCACCGACAUCACGGAGGAGGACUUCAAGCGUCUGUUCGAGCGCUAUGGCGAGCCCAGCGAGGUCUUCAUCAACCGCGACCGCGGCUUCGGUUUCAUCCGCCUGGAAUCCAGAACACUGGCUGAGAUUGCCAAAGCAGAGCUGGACGGCACCAUUUUGAAGAGCCGGCCUCUCCGAAUUCGGUUUGCUACACACGGAGCAGCCCUGACUGUCAAGAAUCUUUCUCCGGUUGUUUCCAACGAGCUUCUCGAACAAGCGUUUUCCCAGUUUGGUCCAGUUGAGAAAGCUGUUGUGGUCGUGGACGACCGUGGAAGAGCUACUGGAAAAGGUUUUGUAGAAUUCGCUGCAAAACCGCCUGCGCGGAAGGCUUUGGAGAGAUGUGGAGACGGGGCGUUCCUGCUGACCACGACUCCUCGCCCUGUGAUUGUAGAGCCUAUGGAGCAGUUUGAUGAUGAAGAUGGCUUGCCAGAAAAGCUAAUGCAGAAAACGCAACAAUAUCAUAAGGAAAGAGAGCAGCCACCACGUUUUGCUCAACCUGGAACGUUUGAGUUUGAAUAUGCGUCUCGAUGGAAGGCCCUGGAUGAAAUGGAGAAACAGCAGCGUGAACAGGUGGAUAGAAACAUCCGCGAAGCCAAAGAGAAGCUAGAGGCAGAGAUGGAGGCAGCUCGGCAUGAACACCAGCUGAUGCUAAUGAGGCAAGAUCUGAUGAGACGUCAAGAAGAACUUAGGCGCUUGGAAGAACUUCGAAACCAAGAGCUGCAAAAACGGAAACAGAUACAGUUGAGGCAUGAGGAGGAGCAUCGUCGUCGCGAGGAGGAAAUGAUCCGCCACAGGGAACAGGAGGAGCUGAGACGGCAGCAAGAGGGAUUUAAACCCAACUAUAUGGAAAAUGGUGGUGCACGAAAGCAGGGCUGAAGCGACGCAUGCUCACCAGCUUCCAGAGAAAUUUUAAAGAGCCUGAAAAGCAAGAGAGCUGAACACAUGUAUUCAGGCAUGAAGCGACCCCAGGGAAGGGUCACGCCUGCCCAGAGCUCAUCCUGUGGACAGGACGCGCUGUGACGGACUGGGUCUGAGAGAUGAUGCCAAAAGGAAAGUGUGUCAGUGACUAAAAGAUACCAAAUUACCGGGUGUCAUGAGGCAUGAACGUAACUCAGAGAAUGAACUUGCAUAAACUAUAGUACAUCCACACAAUGAAAUGUCAGCAUCACAGAGAUGAGCUGUGUAUGAAGCCGUGAGAAGACAUGGGAAGAACCCGUGCCCUUCACUAACUGGAAGAAGCCAUUUGCAGCCGUGGAAUGAUGCCUCACGCCCGUCACUCUGGAAGAGGCUUUUCAAAAGCAAACAAGGACAGGGGUUGCUAGGACGCAGGGGGCCGGGGGGAACUGAGGAAGUGCAGCGGAUUCCUUACACUGCAGCAGUGAACACACACUUCAGUGCACACUUGUCUAAAACCACAGAACACAACACCAAGAGUGACCGUAUGCCUUGAAGACUGCCACUGUGCCCAGGGACACCGGGACGGGGGCCAGCCGUGUGCGCACCGAGGGGCACUUGGGAAAUCUCUGGACCUUCCUUUACUUCAAGACGAGAAGACACCAAAGGCACAGCAGACUACGUGGUUGAAGGACAUAUUCCCAGAUAUGCUAGUGGUAGCUUCGAAAUUUUCUGAGAUUUUAAUAAUUAAAAAAAAAAAAUUAGUAAAAUGUCACUUACUAAAAGCUCAUGAUCUUCUUGUCCCAAAGGGGGGACAUGGACCAUUCUAAGUGUGUGUUCAAAUAAAUAGAUACAUCAUCACUGUGACUUAACCAUGGCAGUCAUUUCACACUUACGUCUCCAAGUGACUCUUGAGCAAAUCAUACACAAGCACGUUGUUGCUUUGCUUAGCAAAAUGCAAAGCACUGUUUUGAUGCUUUGAUAAAAUAUUGCAGUCUGCUCCACAUUCAAUUACAAGUCGUACAAUAUCGGAAUUUCCCCUUUUACAGGCCUAGGUUUGUGGAAAGGAAAAAGAAUAGUUAUUUAACUGGUUAUUUACAUACCAAGUGGAACCGCAUACUCCAGGCAGUUCUCUGCGAAGGGGGACAGAGGCACAGAACGCUGGGGUGAGGCUUGUGCAAGUGUCAGAACCUGCAGAGUCCCACAGUUCAGUGAAUGGCAGGUCCUGUGAGGGCGCUACAUUCAGUCAAGGUCAGUGACUAACCUUGAAGAAAUGGGCAAUCUCAAAAAGGAUCCUUCAGUCCCAAGAUGAGCCUGAGGCCUUC